CCCUUAGAUGUUCUGGGCCGCACGCGCGCUACACUGAUGCAUUCAACGAGCCUAUCCUUGACCGACAGGUCCGGGUAAUCUUUGAAUCUGCAUCGUGACGGGGAUAGAUUAUUGCAAUUAUUAAUCUUCAACGAGGAAUGCCUAGUAGGCGCAAGUCAUCAGCUUGCGUCGAUUACGUCCCUGCCCUUUGUACACGCCGCCCGUCGCUACUACCGAUUGAAUGGUUUAGUGAGAUCUCUGGAUUGACGCUGGCUAGGGGGCGACCCUUGGCCAGACUGCUCGAGAAACUGCUCAAACUUGAUCAUUUAGAGGAAGUAAAAGUCGUAACA
rnacentral:rRNA from 1 species